rnacentral:rRNA from 1 species
GGGAUAACUCCGGGAAACCGGAGCUAAUACCGGAUAGUUCCUUGAACCGCAUGGUUCAAGGAUGAAAGACGGUUUCGGCUGUCACUUACAGAUGGACCCGCGGCGCAUUAGCUAGUUGGUGGGGUAACGGCUCCCCAAGGAGACGAUGCGUAGCCGACCUGAGAGGGUGAUCGCCCACACUGGGACUGAGACACGGCCCAGACUCCUACGGGAGGCAGCAGUAGGGAAUCUUCCGCAAUGGACGAAAGUCUGACGGAGCAACGCCGCGUGAGUGAUGAAGGUUUUCGGAUCGUAAAGCUCUGUUGUUAGGGAAGAACAAGUGCGAGAGUAACUGCUCGCACCUUGACGGUACCUAACCAGAAAGCCACGGCUAAGUACGUGCCAGCAGCCGCGGUAAUACGUAGGUGGCAAGCGUUGUCCGGAAUUAUUGGGCGUAAAGGGCUCGCAGGCGGUUUCUUAAGUCUGAUGUGAAAGCCCCCGGCUCAACCGGGGAGGGUCAUUGGAAACUGGGC